CAGCAGCCGCGGGAAUACGAAGGGGGCUAGCGUUGCUCGGAAUGACUGGGCGUAAAGGGCGCGUAGGCGGUUUUGACAGUCAGAUGUGAAAUCCCCGGGCUCAACCUGGGAACUGCAUUUGUGACUGGCAAGCUAGAGUGUGGCAGAGGGGGGUGGAAUUCCGCGUGUAGCAGUGAAAUGCGUAGAUAUGCGGAGGAACACCGAUGGCGAAGGCAGCCCCCUGGGCCAACACUGACGCUCAUGCACGAAAGCGUGGGGAGCAAACAGGAUUAGAUACCCGCGUAGUCCCUGUCUCUUAUAC
rnacentral:rRNA from 1 species